rnacentral:ncRNA from 1 species
AUCUGAACAGGGUAACCCGCGCCGAAAGGUCGGGGCACAAAGUUCCGGUCUGUCGGGCACCGACGCCUCAUGACUGUGGAACCGCCAGA